GAUGAACGCUGGCGGCGCGCCUAACACAUGCAAGUCGAACGAUUAAAGCACCUUCGGGUGUGUAUAAAGUGGCGAACGGCUGAGUAACACGUGGGCAACCUGCCCCUUUCAUUGGGAUAGCCACGGGAAACCGUGGAUAAUACCGAAUACUUCGAGACUUCCGCAUGGAAGACUCGAGAAAGCUCCGGCGGAGAGGGAUGGGCUCGCGGCUUGUUAGCUUGUUGGUGGGGUAACGGCCUACCAAGGCAAUGAUGGGUAGCUGGGUUGAGAGACCGACCAGCCAGAUUGGGACUGAGACACGGCCCAGACUCCUACGGGAGGCAGCAGUGGGGAAUCUUGCACAAUGGGCGAAAGCCUGAUGCAGCGACGCCGCGUGCGGGAUGAAGGCCUUCGGGUUGUAAACCGCUUUCAGCAGGGACGAGGCGAAAGUGACGGUACCUGCAGAAGAAGCCCCGGCUAACUACGUG
rnacentral:rRNA from 1 species